rnacentral:rRNA from 1 species
UACGAAGGGGGCUAGCGUUGCUCGGAAUCACUGGGCGUAAAGGGUGCGUAGGCGGCGCGGAAAGUCAGGGGUGAAAUCCCGGAGCUCAACUCCGGAACUGCCUUUGAUACUCCCGCGCUUGAGAACUGGAGGGGAGACCGGAAUUCACGGUGGAGCAGUGAAAUGCGUGGAUAUCGUGAGGAACACUAGUGGCGAAGGCGGGUCUCUGGACAGUAUCUGACGCUGAGGCACGAAGGCCAGGGAGGCGAACGGG